rnacentral:rRNA from 1 species
GAUUGAACGCUGGCGGCAUGCUUUACACAUGCAAGUCGGACGGCAGCACAGAGAAGCUUGCUUCUUGGGUGGCGAGUGGCGAACGGGUGAGUAACGCAUCGGAACGUACCGAGUAGUGGGGGAUAACUGUCCGAAAGGAUGGCUAAUACCGCAUACGCUUUGAGAAGGAAAGCGGGGGAUCUUCGGACCUCGCGCUAUUCGAGCGGCCGAUGUCUGAUUAGCUGGUUGGUAGGGUAAAGGCCUACCAAGGCGACGAUCAGUAGCGGGUCUGAGAGGAUGAUCCGCCACACUGGGACUGAGACACGGCCCAGACUCCUACGGGAGGCAGCAGUGGGGAAUUUUGGACAAUGGGCGCAAGCCUGAUCCAGCCAUGCCGCGUGUCUGAAGAAGGCCUUCGGGUUGUAAAGGACUUUUGUCAGGGAAGAAAAGCUUGAGGCUAAUACCCUUGAGUGAUGACGGUACCUGAAGAAUAAGCACCGGCUAACUAC